UGAUGUAGUGCACAAAUAGUGCCAGGAUGGUCAUGUGGUAGCACUCCAGCUUGGGAUGGAUUUGGACAUAGUCUCCCUUCUCACGAUGUCUGGUGAUUUAAAGAAGCUGCUGCAUAAACCCCCAGACUUCUUAUUGGAUUCAACUCUCAUUCCCCACCAGCUUUUUUUUUUUUUGGUACUGGGGAUCGAACUUGGGUCCUUGCACUUGCGCAGCAGGUGGUGAAACCACUGAGCUAAAUCCCCAGCCCAGCCCACCAGCUAUUUUUAAAAGGGGAGCAAGAGGAAAUAAUAUGAGAUCUACAGGCAGAACAUCUCCUGGCACUGUGCAAAGGCCAAACUGGCCAAGGACAGAUUUGAUGUUAUGAAAGACUAAUGAAAAUUAUGCCAUAAAGAAAACCAACUUCGAGAUGCCCAGUCACCCUGCUGCAGACAGGCAGCCACCUGGUUCCACACUACAAAGAUGCAGAGGACACCAGACCACCAGACCAAGAGCAUCUGUGAACUUCUCUGCAGAAGCGGUCUGGAAGAAUCUGUCCCCCGUAACAGAGCUUGGCCACCUCUCCCUCCUGUGUGUGAUGCCCAUGGACUGUUGGGUCACUCUCUUCUCAUGCUUGCAGAGCAGAUGCUUCCCAGAAGACUCUAGAGAGCAGAGCAUUCCUGGAGUUGCCCUUGAGAGAAACCCAAUCCCUCCAGGAAGUCUGGGGCGUGUGUGUCUCAGGAACAGGGACCCAGGACAAGAUGGCCAGAUUCUACAACAAAACAAAACAAAACAAAACAAAACAGG
rnacentral:lncRNA from 1 species